GCCGAGGUGGCGGAACGGCAGACGCAGCGGACUUAAAAUCCGCGGCCCGCAAGGGUGUGUGGGUUCAAAUCCCGCCCUCGGCA
rnacentral:tRNA from 1 species